UAGGAGAGCUGUGUUCUGAAAAGAUUCUU
rnacentral:piRNA from 1 species